GGUGGAACCCUGACCCCAGGGCCUGAAGAUUCCGGACUUUACAUCUGCGCAUGUGCUGAUGGAUGGCAUGGUGUAUUCUGUGAUCAGGAGUGUACCGGUACGUACGGUCCUGACUGUGGUAUACCCUGUGGACAUUGUUACGGGAACCAGACCUGUGACAGGUUCACCGGGACAUGUCCGACCGAAGGAACUUUCGUGUGUGCGGCUGGAUACUAUGGUGACAAAUGUGAUCGCGAGUGUCCAGACGGUUUGUAUGGAGCUGACUGUACCCAAACCUGUCACUGUGCAAACGGUUCAGCCUGUAACAAGACGACUGGAGUAUGUAAUGG